GGUUGCAUCAUCGAGGUCACAAACAAUGCUUGACACCCUUAAGUGUAGUAUUGGACGCAGUAAGUGUACGUCAGUACAUUCCAGGCGAUGUGAUAGUGCUUAUCGUGUAAUAUUCGCAGUUUGACUACUCGACUUUGUAAAAUAGAAUGAGGAUUUACCAGCUUUUCUUCGUGUUUGCCCUUCUCCUGGGCAUCGCCCUGGGCCUGGAGUCAGAUAUUAGAAAGAUAAAGGAGAAGAAAUCGCCCGAAAAACCGACAGUACGAGUGAUCCCUAUCUUUUCACCAAACUCAAGAAGCAACAUCAAGUUCUCAUAAAUCAUAAAGUAUAAAUCAUGCUUAUUGCAUCACGUAAUAACGCUUUGUUAGAAUAUAAAUUAUUAUGGCAUUUUAUCUCAAGAGAAACUUAUUCUACAAUGACUAAAU